AAAAAGAAAAAUUUUGGUCUUCCAAAAAAUAGCCUUCAAAGACCGUCUUCUCCGGCUAAUGGACUGCCGGAACGAGCAGCAACCACCCACCACAAACGACCCUGCUUCUCCAUUUUUUUAUUUUUUUUUCAGACCCCAACGAUCCUCUUCUCUUCGCCGGAACGAACCGCCUUGCUAGACCUCAAACUCUGGCGGGACUCAAAUUCGAAACAACCAGCAAAACGCCGACCUCCGUAGCUCCGGCAAACAAGUAAUUCUCUAUAUUUUAUUUUUGUCGUAACUACUUUGCUUCGUUCAUUGUUAUUCCAGAUCUGGCCGGAGUUUGAUAAAAUUUGUCUUCUCCGAUUAGUUGUGUUGAUAUUAUACCGUGUUAUUUUGCUUUGAUUGUUUAUUCACAGCUAUUGAUUUGCUGUUUGUUUUGAUUCUUACAGUGGCUAUGCUUUGAUUUUUUUUAUUUAAAUUAAAUGUUUAAUGGUUAAAGAAUUUUUUCAAUUGUGAUAUCAUUCUCAACUUAUGGAUCUUUUAUUAGGAUAGUUACUCUCAUUAUUUUAUAUUGUUAAUUCUUUAUGACCUUAUUCAUUUGUUGUCAUCGAGUUAUUUGUUUUAGUGUUAGUUUUGUCUUUAUUAUGAUUAUUUUAUUGAUUGUUCAUUUGUUCCUUAUGCUUAUCUUAUUUUUGAUUGUUGUUUACUCUAUUAAUUUAAUAAUUUAAAUUAUAUUUGUUAUAUUUUGUUGGAUUUAAUGUUAUUAUUAACAAUGGUGUUGCCUUCGGUAAAUUUUAUACUUUUCAUGUUACUGUUACUUUUGUUAAUGUUAAGAUAAUUUUUUGUCAUUUUUUGUUAUUUUUAAUUGAUAUUGAAUAGACUUUAUUUGUUAAAAUUGGCUAAUGAAAAAUUUUCUCCGACGAUUUUGGAGGCCUCCACAUUGCAAAAGACGAAAAAUUAGUUUAAGUUCGUUUAUAUUUUGUAUGUUAAAAUUGAUCAAUGAAGAAAUUACUGUCGAUUUUCAAGACUUUCUAUGUUAAUAAGACGGAGUUUAUUUUUAAGUUAUUAUUUGAGUUAUUCAUAUUUAUUUGGCGAAAUGGUCUGGUGAACCCUUGUACUUGUAUCUGUUUGUAUUCUGGACCUUUCUACUUACCAUUUUGUCAUCUGGACCCCUGAAUCCAUCCAAACACAACAUUUUAAACACAAUUUUUGAUGUGGCAUCCUAUGUGGAAAGACUCCACAUGGAGCGUGUGAUAUACACAAAACAAGAGCGUGAAACACCUUAAAAAGGCAGUAACAGUUAGAUUUUUGCCUUUAAAGACCAUUUCUUCUUCUUUAUUUUCACUCAACACCAUUGUUGGACAAAUUUGAGCUUUUUUCUUGUCUUUUUCUCGAUCUUGUCUCUUCAAAUUUCUUCUCUUUUAUUUUUUCCUUCGAUUUAUUCAUCUUUUAUUUUGUGUGAUUCUAUUGUAUUUUUGUUGGUCUCCACGAUGACAGCUCGAUGUAGUCAACCUAAUCUCGAUAAAAGUAUUUAGCUAAUGUCAUGACUCAAAUAAGACUAAUAUAAAUUAUGUGAUGACAAUUUUACCAUUUCUCCAAAGCCUUGAUUAAACCCUAUUUUACCAACAAAAAAAAAAAUACUAGAAAAAGAAAGUAGCAAAAAAAGAAAACAAGAAUGGUCAGUGCCUCCCUUCUUCAUCUGUCAAAAGAUUCAAUUUUUUUCAUCAUUUCAAAAUUUUUCUUCUUUCAUAGUUUCUCUCUCUACACCUCUGUUUCCAUAAAAAUAUAUAAAUUUAUCUGAAUUUCUUUCUUCUUUUUGUUCUUCAUUUCCAUUAUACAUUGUCUCUCUGUAUAUCUGCAAAAAAAAAAAUAUAUCAAAAAAUCAAAAAAAUGAUUACAGUACAAUCAUUUUCCAGGCAAAGAGAGAAAAGGGGAGGUCCAAAAUAUGCAAUCUUGGAACCCCAUUACUCCAAUUAUUCACUUCCUUUUUUGUGUACCCUUUUUUCAUAUUUGGCCAGCUUUGCAUAACACUUUUUUCUUUUGUGUUUUGAAUACCCUUUUGAUUUUUCUUCUCUGUGGAGGGAGAGUUUUGCUACAUAGAUCUCUCUGUAGAGAAGGAAUAUGUGUGUUUUCUCAAUCAUUUUGAGGGUUUUUGAUUAUUUGGGGUUUUUUGAUUGUCUUUGCCCAGAUCUUGUUUUUGUGAAUUGAUGUGAUGUGUUUAUUUUGGUCUAAUUGUUUUGUUGUUGUUGUUUUUCAAUAAUCUGAUGAGUAAAGAUCUUCAAGGUUUUUUGAAAACAAUGACUAUUCUUUUAGUACGUAUGUGGAAUAUAAUAUUCAUACGUGGAAUAAAAUUUUAUUUUUUUGUCAACGUGUACGUGUUUGUGUAACACGCAUCAUACCACAUCAAAAAUUGUGUUUAAAAUAUUUUGUUUGGAUGGCUUCAGGGGUCUAGAUGACAAAAGGGUAAGUAAAAGGGUCCAGAAUACAAACAGAUACAA
rnacentral:lncRNA from 1 species